CACGCCAGUCUUUCUUGUAAUAAAGAGCAUUCUUUGGGGUUUUAUAGGCUUGUGUGGGUCCUCAGCAAUGAAUGCUUUUUUUCCACCAUUUGGAUUAAGGUAGACACGCACUGAAUCACCUACAUUAGUGAUUGUCAGUGUGUGCUUUGAGGUGAAACUUCCUCUGUGUACCCUAUUUCUGCUCUAAUCUCUAGCUGGGAAGGGGAUAAUAUUUCUAAGUGAGAUAGAUGUGGGUGGUCAUGAUUACUGCAGUGAGGAGUUUGCCUGGUGACACCAGAGACCCAUGGGGAUGCAAGGCCACAUCCCACGUGGAGAAACCAGCUCGUGCAUGAGCUCAAGGUGACCCCAGCCCUCUGUGCAGCUCACAGAGACAGUACAGUAGCUACUCUCUUCCUCAUGCCAAGGGGUUAAACACUUUGUUUCCUUGCAGCAGGCACUGGGAUCCUUCCAGCCGUGGUUUAGCAGCUGAGUACUGGGAGCAUUUCGUCUGUAUGUAGAACUGUGCUUUCCUUCAAAGCAGGAGAGUGCUGCAGGUCGUCUCAUCUCUCCUCAUCCAUGUGGGUGGAAAAACCACCUCUAGCAACACCUGGCAGUGACCUGUGCUGCUCCUUGAUUUCCCUUCUGACUUGAUGCCUACUGUGACUCCAAAUCACCAGGUUAUUUCCGCUCUGAAGCACAGAUCCACGUGUUCCCCUCACUGUGGUGUUUCUACAGUGGGAUGGAAGCAGGUUUCCUUUGGGAAGGCAGGGGGAGGGAUGGCAUCAGGUUUCUAUUUCCAUACACUGCACCAUUCCCUCAAGCUCUCUCUCCUUCACACACAAUUACUGCCUUGUAGAUAGUGAGGAAUUCCAUUUCUUCCCUUUUUCUCUCAUAGAUUCUAUCUGUCUUUUUCCUGCAGUUGAGACCAGUCCCACACCUGAUCCUCUAAGUAACAAAAGAGCCUUGAAAGGAAUCAGACACCACCUACUCUGCUGUUUUCUAUAUAUAACCACUGCACAACACACUUCCCAAAAUAAGCUGCAGUGCCAAGUGAUUGCUGCAUUGUCACAGGGCACAAGAUUAGAACCACAGCCCCUCAGCUUUCAGGAAAGCUUUUAUAGCCAGCCUGAC
rnacentral:lncRNA from 1 species